UGGCGACCGGCGCACGGGUGAGUAACACGUAUCCAACCUGCCGAUGACUCGGGGAUAGCCUUUCGAAAGAAAGAUUAAUACCCGAUGGCAUAGUUCUUCCGCAUGGUAGAACUAUUAAAGAAUUUCGGUCAUCGAUGGGGAUGCGUUCCAUUAGAUAGUAGGCGGGGUAACGGCCCACCUAGUCUUCGAUGGAUAGGGGUUCUGAGAGGAAGGUCCCCCACAUUGGAACUGAGACACGGUCCAA
rnacentral:rRNA from 1 species